UGGGGAAUAUUGCGCAAUGGGCGAAAGCCUGACGCAGCGACGCCGCGUGGAGGAUGAAGGUCUUCGGAUUGUAAACUCCUGUCAGAUGGGAAGAAAGGUUUAUGUUUAAUAAACGUGAAAUAUGACGGUACCAUCAGAGGAAGCACCGGCUAACUUCGUGCCAGCAGCCGCGGUAAUACGAAGGGUGCAAACGUUAUUCGGAAUCACUGGGCGUAAAGGGUGCGUAGAUGGCUUAUUAAGUUUGUUGUUAAAGGCUUCAGCCUAACUGAAGUAUUGCGAUGAAAACUGGUAUGCUAGAGGGUGAGAGAGAGAAGUGGAAUUCCUGGAGUAGCGGUAAAAUGCGUGGAUCUCAGGAGGAACACCAAUGGCGAAGGCAGCUUCUUGGCUCAUUCCUGACAUUGAGGCACGAAAGCGUGGGGAGCAAACAGG
rnacentral:rRNA from 1 species